rnacentral:lncRNA from 10 species
UGCGAAUGACCCGGAGUGUGGACAACGUCCAGUUCCUGCCCUUUCUCACCACGGAAGUCAAGUGAGGGGCCGACGGCUGCGGCUAAGGUGAUUCAAACUAAAUCAACCCAAUGUCUCUCCUACCCACUCACCAUUGCUACCCUUCUCACCUCUGCCUCCUGGUGCCUCUAUGGGUUUCGACUCAGAGAUCCCUAUAUCAUGGUGUCCAACUUUCCAGGAAUCGUCACCAGCUUUAUCCGCUUCUGGCUUUUCUGGAAGUACCCCCAGGAGCAAGACAGGAACUACUGGCUCCUGCAAACCUGAGGCUGCUCAUCUGACCACUGGGCACCUUAGUGCCAACCUGAACCAAAGAGACCUCCUUGUUUCAGCUGGGCCUGCUGUCCAGCUUCCCAGGUGCAGUGGGUUGUGGGAACAAGAGAUGACUUUGAGGAUAAAAGGACCAAAGAAAAAGCUUUACUUAGAUGAUUGAUUGGGGCCUAGGAGAUGAAAUCACUUUUUAUUUUUUAGAGAUUUUUUUUUUUAAUUUUGGAGGUUGGGGUGCAAUCUUUAGAAUAUGCCUUAAAAGGCCGGGCGCGGUGGCUCACGCCUGUAAUCCC